UACGAAGGGAGCUAUCGUUGUUCGGAAUCACUGGGCGUAAAGCGCACGUAGGCGGAUUUGUCAGUCGGGGGUGAAAUCCCGAGGCUCAACCUCGGAACUGCCUCCGAUACAGCAAAUCUCGAGUCCGGGAGAGGUGGGUGGAAUUCCUAGUGUAGAGGUGAAAUUCGUAGAUAUUAGGAAGAACACCAGUGGCGAAGGCGGCCCACUGGCCCGGUACUGACGCUGAGGUGCGAAAGCGUGGGGAGAAAACAGG
rnacentral:rRNA from 1 species